rnacentral:rRNA from 1 species
GGAGUUCAGACGUGUGCUCUUCCGAUCUGGCGGCAGGCCUAACACAUGCAAGUCGAACGGUAACAUUUCUAGCUUGCUAGAAGAUGACGAGUGGCGGACGGGUGAGUAAUACUUAGGAAUAUGCCUUUGUGUGGGGGAUAACCAUUGGAAACGAUGGCUAAUACCGCAUAACGUCUUCGGACCAAAGGGGGCCUUGGCUCCCGCGCAAAGAGUAGCCUAAGCGAGAUUAGCUUGUUGGUGAGGUAAAGGCUCACCAAGGCGACGAUCUCUAGCUGUUCUGAGAGGAAGAUCAGCCACACUGGAACUGAGACACGGUCCAGACUCCUACGGGAGGCAGCAGUGGGGAAUAUUGCACAAUGGGCGAAAGCCUGAUGCAGCCAUGCCGCGUGUGUGAAGAAGGCCUUCGGGUUGUAAAGCACUUUCAGUCAGGAGGAAAGGGUGUGAGUUAAUACCUCACAUCUGUGACGUUACUGACAGAAGAAGCACCGGCUAACUCCGUGCCAGCAGCCGCGGUAAUACGGAGGGUGCGAGCGUUAAUCGGAAUUACUGGGCGUAAAGCGUACGCAGGCGGUUUGUUAAGCGAGAUGUGAAAGCCCCGGGCUCAACCUGGGAACUGCAUUUCGAACUGGCAAACUAGAGUGUGAUAGAGGGUGGUAGAAUUUCAGGUGUAGCGGUGAAAUGCGUAGAGAUCUGAAGGAAUACCGAUGGCGAAGGCAGCCACCUGGGUCAACACUGACGCUCAUGUACGAAAGCGUGGGGAGCAAACGGGAUUAGAUACCCCGGUAGUCCACGCCGUAAACG